rnacentral:rRNA from 1 species
GACGAACGCUUGCGGCGUGCUUAACACAUGCAAGUCGAACGGAAAGGCCCUGCUUUUGUGGGGUGCUCGAGUGGCGAACGGGUGAGUAACACGUGAGUAACCUGCCCUUGACUUUGGGAUAACUUCAGGAAACUGGGGCUAAUACCGGAUAGGAGCUCCUGCUGCAUGGUGGGGGUUGGAAAGUUUCGGCGGUUGGGGAUGGACUCGCGGCUUAUCAGCUUGUUGGUGGGGUAGUGGCUUACCAAGGCUUUGACGGGUAGCCGGCCUGAGAGGGUGACCGGCCACAUUGGGACUGAGAUACGGCCCAGACUCCUACGGGAGGCAGCAGUGGGGAAUAUUGCACAAUGGGCGGAAGCCUGAUGCAGCAACGCCGCGUGCGGGAUGACGGCCUUCGGGUUGUAAACCGCUUUCGCCUGUGACGAAGCGUGAGUGACGGUAAUGGGUAAAGAAGCACCGGCUAACUACGUGCCAGCAGCCGCGGUGAUACGUAGGGCGCGAGCGUUGUCCGGAUUUAUUGGGCGUAAAGGGCUCGUAGGUGGUUGAUCGCGUCGGAAGUGUAAUCUUGGGGCUUAACCCUGAGCGUGCUUUCGAUACGGGUUGACUUGAGGAAGGUAGGGGAGAAUGGAAUUCCUGGUGGAGCGGUGGAAUGCGCAGAUAUCAGGAGGAACACCAGUGGCGAAGGCGGUUCUCUGGGCCUUUCCUGACGCUGAGGAGCGAAAGCGUGGGGAGCGAACAGGCUUAGAUACCCUGGUAGUCCACGCUGUAAACGGUGGGUACUAGGUGUGGGGUCCAUUCCACGGGUUCCGUGCCGUAGCUAACGCUUUAAGUACCCCGCCUGGGGAGUACGGCCGCAAGGCUAAAACUCAAAGGAAUUGACGGGGCCCCGCACAAGCGGCGGAGCAUGCGGAUUAAUUCGAUGCAACGCGUAGAACCUUACCUGGGUUUGACAUGGAUCGGGAGUGCUCAGAGAUGGGUGUGCCUCUUUUGGGGUCGGUUCACAGGUGGUGCAUGGCUGUCGUCAGCUCGUGUCGUGAGAUGUUGGGUUAAGUCCCGCAACGAGCGCAACCCUUGUUCACUGUUGCCAGCACGUUAUGGUGGGGACUCAGUGGAGACCGCCGGGGUCAACUCGGAGGAAGGUGGGGAUGACGUCAAGUCAUCAUGCCCCUUAUGUCCAGGGCUUCACGCAUGCUACAAUGGCUGGUACAGAGAGUGGCGAGCCUGUGAGGGUGAGCGAAUCUCGGAAAGCCGGUCUCAGUUCGGAUUGGGGUCUGCAACUCGACCUCAUGAAGUCGGAGUCGCUAGUAAUCGCAGAUCAGCAACGCUGCGGUGAAUACGUUCCCGGGGCU